GGCCGAGUGUAGUUUUUUUUGACUGCACUAAUAGUUCGUAAACACCACACAGGAAGUAGGAAAAGAACUACAUUUCCCAUCUGCCCUGGCUGUCACAGGCUAAUAGCACCAGCUGCUUUCCAUUGCCCUAAUGAGUGAUUCUACUGCGGCAACGAGACCAAAUACAACGAAAGUAUUGAUGCUGCAAAAGAAGACGGAUCUUUUGGUAGGCUGGUUAAUGAUUACCACAGGCACCCAAAUGGCAGAAUGCAGAAGACUGAAGUGGAUGGAAGCCCACAUCUUGGUCUGUUUGCUUUAACAGACUUUAAAGAAGGUGAUGAAAUUGCCUACAAUUACGGAGGAGGAGACUGGUCUUGGUGCAGCAAGAUUAUGGAGGAGGACACUGCUGAGAGCAAUGGCCAGGAGAAACAGCAGCCAUCACAGUCUACACCUUUUCUGGAUCAUAAAUAUCAGAAUUGUGUAGUUUGCUGGCACUUUUAAUCCUGCCUUUCAAUCACACCUCUCCAUAAUUUCCAACAUAAGCAUCCCCUGGGACUCAGUAGGUUCCCUACUGCAUCUUCUCCAAGAAAACUGAGUACUCUUAGUUACUAUUUGGUACAUAUGCACAAACUGCAGUCAGAGUUUUCAUUCUUGAGACGUGAAAUGUAAGUUCCAGUCUGUAAGUUGCCAGACAAUAAUUUCUGUCGGGUGUAAGGGUGUGUGUUUGCUAUGUAACUAAUGUUUAUUCUUACAUUUAGGUAAAACAUCUACUCUGAAAAAGAGGAAGGCUCGGGAAGGAGAUGAGGUCCAUGCAGUGGAGAGACAUAUGAAGACCUUCAUCAUGUCAUGUCGUGUCCCAGGGAAGUUGGCCUGUGAAAACUGCAUUAGAUCUGAGUCUUUAUAUCUUAAAGAUAGAGACUGGCAAAGUGUCAAAUUCUAUGUCUAUAACUGCACUGUAGCUUACAAAAGAGAUAUAAACAAAGAUUAAAUAACACUUUGAUAGUAACACUUUACAUCUAUAUUACAGAUACUGUACAUCAUAACAUCUGUAGUAAUGCUUUAAUAAUAAGUUACGUUACACCUCUAGCCUUUUACUUUGUAAUGAACCACUCAGCAUUUACUUCAUAAUAAAUUAAUCAGGAACAAAUCAGGCAUUUAAAAUAUCCAUUAGAAUCUUUACCUACACCGUUAUAUUGAAUUAGAUCAAAUUGGUUUGGGCCGCCUUCUUCCAGUGGGUCCUUAUGCAGGUGACUGACAAGUUCAUGAGUAAGCCUAUUGGGCAAUAAAAGCUUCAGUGUGCUACGAUUUACAUGUUUAGACUGCCUGGAAUCAAAAUUAGCUACCUCAACAUAUAUUAUUAAGUUGUUACUGUCACUUUUUAGCUUAGUCAGUUAAGUGGAUAUAGAAUUGUGUUUAUGACAUUUGGUUGUGUGUCUGUGUUUGG